CCCCCGGGAGCCCCCGCAGCGCCGCGGCCCCGGUCCCGCCGCCCCGUCCAGGCCUUGCGGCGCCGCCGCUGCGCCCGGCCCCGCGGCACCCGAGGCCCCCGCAGGCUUUCUGCGGAGCGGCGCCCCGGUCCCGGCCUCCGGCGGAGCCGCGGGAGUAUUUGCGCGUGUCUCCGGCCGCCCGACGGGUGUUUUUGUUUUUCUGGAGCUACACGCGGCACCUCGCUACACGCGGCUCUGUGCAGCGAUGGAGAUAAAUUACGUUUGCCUUCUCUUAACGCUUUGGUGCACGGCGGGACUCGUCUCGUUCCCUGGUUACACGCAAUAAACAGUCGUUUUGGUGAAUGACCAUUUCCAGCCACUUCCCGCCUCGGAAGGACGUUUGAUAAGCGCGGCAUUCCCGAGGGAUCCACGUUUCGGAGCAACAGCGUCGCUCAAACGCCAGUGGGGUGGAUCCGGGGACCGAAAUCCGGCAGGUGCCCCGGGACCCGCAGCGGCUCGGGCUGCUCGGGGCGCUCCCAGCGCGGGGGUGCCGCUGCGGCGCGCAGACCCAGGGCACGGCAGCGGUGGGAAAAGCCCCGUCUUUCCAAAAGGAUGCUGCACCCACAGAUAUCUCAUUAACAGCAUCCUGUUGGCUAACGGAAGGGGCUCUGCCUCCUCGGAGAAGCCUGCUCCAAACCGGGCUGUGAUCGCAUUUAAUCCCAUGCAUAUAACUUUUUCCCCUGUCCUCCUCCCCCAUCCCACGGCCAUGGGUCAUCACCGCCACCACCCCUCGGAGGUGUCUUCUCCCCCCGGACCCCGCUCUUCAGGCACUGAGAUCACUCCUUGGAAGUAGUAUCCAAGUUCCCCGGCGGAAAGCAUGCGAGCAGCUGGCUCCCUCAUCUGCAGCUGGCAGGGCUCCUCCGGAAGCAGAGACCGGCCACCAGGCCGUGCCAGGCCCCGGGCACUUGUCCCCAGAGCGCGGGUCUCUGCAGCCCGCCGUCGGCUGGAUGCUGGUGGCAGCGUGGGGUGCUACCCGAGCAGUGACUUUUAGACCCUUCCCAAAAGAUGACUUCUUGAGUUUGCCUCCCCCAGAAUUGCUGGCUCCCGCUCGGAAGUACCGGCUGUCCGCAGGAGCUGAGCGUUGCUCGCUCCGGACGCUCCGAAGCGGCACGGACAUCACUAUCACCCCUCCCCAUUUACAUGAAGGAAACCCAGCAUAUCAUGGAUUAUCCCCUGCGUCUGAACCUCAGAUGGGAGGAGGCAGAGCGUGGUUUCUGACACUGACCUGAUCUCCCUAGCGAGGGUGAUAGGCCCUGGUGGCACAGGGGAAAGCGUUCCUAGCACGCUUCUGUCCACCCAUCGUCAUAACCCAGCACCAUCUCCUUUAACACAUGCAAGCGACAGGCCUGUCUUUGCUAUUGCAAAGUGCGGAUUAGCACCUAGAGUCUCUAGAGGAGAGAGAAGUGUGGCUGAAUCUGCUAUAAACCAAGUGCUGCAGAAUGACUGCCUGGAGUCAGAGAACAUGUUCAAGUGCUUGAGCCCAGCUGCAGAAAGCUAGAAAACAACCAGACUGUCUUGGGGUCAAUCAUUCCUAGCACCUGGCUCAACCCCAUUUGAACUCUACAGCUGUAACAGAACUAAAGUACUCAUACUUGCAGCUACUGCUUUUGUUUUUAUUUCCAGGUGCAGUAAGCAACAUAACAGAAAAAUUACAGCACAUGAAAGUGCCUAUGCUUUUCUCUGGAACAGUGAAAUAAGACCAUUAAGAGCCUUGGAUCUACUGAAAAGUCCUGCUAGAGUUACAAAGGAGGCAAGUCAGGGGCUGCGGCAGCCACAGCACAAGCCAGGCAACAUCAUCACCAACAGGGCACAGUCCCUCUGCGCCAGAGGCCCGUGAGCAGGGCAGGGCGGUGGCAGCAGGAGGUCCUGGCAGCAGUCCAGUCAUCAUCAGGUAAGGUAAUGCACCAAGUCCUAGCUCAAUCCAGGAAAGCCAAACAAGGAUGAAGGAAGAGGCCUAGGGCAGGCACACCCACAACCCAGCUCAGGUAAGAGCCAGGCCCAAGCUUAAACGGAGCUACUGGGCAGGGAGACCCAGGUGAGGCCAGUUAGGGCAAUUAAGGCCAGUUAGUGCCCUGACACCAGAGUCUUUGUUACUGGUGAUGUGUCAAGGAUAGCAGAGGUCAUUUGACUGUCAGAUUGCAGAUUAAGUUUGUAGGGCUCACUACUAAAAAUACAUUUUUUUAAAUCUAAAUACUAAACAGAAUUUUUACUGGUGUUAAUAACAAUAAAUAAUAAACAGAGCUUAUUUCCUUCACAACAGCUAGCCUGGGCAGGCAGUAAAGCAGAAGGAAAGGAAUGAACUCAUUACAGGAAACAAUGAAUCCAGGUCCGAGCUCUGAAAAGCAGGAACAUCCGUGAGGAGCGUAUUACCAUAUGCUUGACAAGAGAUUUCAAUAGCACCAAUCAAGACAUUAGCAGCAGCUAUAGGGACAAAUCCAAGUGCACUAAAGCUGUUAGACAGCUCCUGUCUAUGAGUCCUGGCAGCACAUUCAAUGUGAGGAGCAAGAGACAUCUGUGAAUCAAAAUUUGCUUCCAGGUUCUCAGGCGCAGGAGCUACCUAGAAGUGCUGAGAGCUGGUUUCUAUUUGUUUAAGGCAUGCAAAGAAAAUUUUAAAGGAGGAAUGGAAAUUUGAACUCUACUGUAUGCUUUGGUCACCUAGAUGUCUCUUAUUUCCCUGCGUCAGUUUUGUUCCUCUCUCUGCUCCCCACCCCUCUGCCAGCUUCAUCCCCCACUCCAGACACAGCUCAGGCCCUUUGUGUCUCUGCACAGCUUCUCACCUCCUCCAAAAUCCCAGUGUGAGCCCUAAACUUUACUGUAGUCAGAUCUUCUUAAUGCUCUUCUGGGACUCUUUUUCCAAGCUAAGUCUCACGCCUCCCUCUCUAACAUAUCCGUGGUACCAGCUGUGCUCCAGGCAGAGCUCUUUGUGGCCUUUCGCUGCGCAGGGGCUUGGGCUGAGUGCUCCUAGCAGCAUCCCUCAGCCUCAGUGUCAUCUGCCUCUCAUUUGCCUGUUACAACAUUUUGCUCUUCAGGGCAGGGACCUGCCUAAUCUGUGUACUGCAGGGCCCUUUGAUCACUGGUAGGAGCAAAACAUCCCAAACCGAAAACAUCUGCCUUAAAGCAAGACCAAAUGCAUUGGCAGCUGCAAAUCAGAUGGAGAGUUAAAGAGCUAAUUGCCCCAGGCCAGAUGCUUGGAGGAAACAAUUUGUUUUGGCUGUGCAUUAAGGGAAGUAAGGAUUUGCAGUGAACCUGGAAACCAUUAGUCCCUAACUGUUCUUCUUCAUUGAUCAGCAUGGACAGAAAAAUCCUUGGGAGAAACUUUGAGAGGUGAGGCUAAGAAGCGAGGAAGACUCCUGUGACGCUGUAAAUAAACUAAGACUGCAACGGAGAGACAGGAUAAAGUUGAAGAUUUACUACCCCCAGAUUACCUUGUCUGUGGCUGCUCUAGCGAAAGCAGCUAAUUGAGUGUUUCCGCAGUGAAGUAGGCUCUGAUGGAUUGAGCCAUGGAAAGCUCUGACAGAUUUUCCUGCUGGCUCUUCCUCUUUGCACUAGCUUAUAUUUUUGGCUCAAGUCUUAGAUGUCUGGAUCAGCCUAGGAAGUAAUUUUUACAUACAAGGGUAAAAUGCUGCCUUCUCCCCCUCGUGCUGCCCUACUGCUCUGUGCAUGCCUGUUUGCAGAUCCAACCAAACUCCCUGUUUGUAUUUGUCGCUCUCUCUGCCCUGUCUGCCCACUGCUUGCUCAAAAACAAAUCCACACGUUAAUUAAACUGGGAGCUCGAAGGCAGUGCAGAGACAAACCCUGCUAGUGGGGCCCUGAGAACACGUCACAUGCAUAAAUGUGCUCCGAGUAAAUAUAGCAACCCCAAGGGCGAAGAGUGUUGCCUCCCUCGCCAUCCCCCACCAGCCCUCCCUUCCCUGGCGCGAAGGUGGUGCCCAGACCAGGGCACUUCCAGUAGUUGUUGGUACACGAGGUACUCUGGCUCCCAAAAGCAAAUGCAAAACUGAUAUCCUUGCCCUCCAGGGCUACCUGUUGGCUCUAAUUGAUUGCCUUUAGCAGACUUGAGCUCAUCCUGGUCUUCCCGAGCAGUGUGGAGGGCAGGAGGUGAGAUCAUGCUGGACGUGGAUCCCCACAAGCGGUGAAUAAGCACAGCCGAGUGGCCUGACGUUGCACCUCCCUGCAUCGUGGCAUUGCAUCAGUAUGGGGUGAUGUUGAGAGACGUUGACUUGUGUGCCCAGUUACACAAAGUACUACGGUUUCACUGGGUUGGUAGUCGUACACAUUCACAACACUACACCUUUUAAAUUACUUAUUACAACUUAUAAUCUGUGCUGAGGGAAUUCUGAAGGCUGAAACCCGGAGGAGACAGGUACAGUGUAAGCACACAGUGAAGGGCUUUCUCUCCCCCAAAGUGCUCACUGUGUCAAGCAGUAUAGACAAAAGACAGAAGGCAGAACAGUUCUUCUCAUACAAGUUCGGGACAUGAAGACCACAUGUGGAAAGUCUCUGUGGGAGCUAGGAAUUGAAUGCAGAUUUCCUGCCUUAAUCUCAAAACUAUCUUCAGCUUUCCACUGAUACUUUGUAAGCAUUUGUAUCUUCUAGCCUCAGCAAAGCUAGGCUGUCCAUGGGAAACACUGCGCACUGCAGCCGGAGAGGUUUUGCAGCAUCCUUGGCGGGGCUGGAGUCCAGGUGAGCCGAGAGCGCCCUGGGGGUGCCAGCCCUGCCGCAGCUCCGCCAGCCCGUCCCUGAGGACCGGGCCAGACCGCCACGCUGUGUUCACAGACCUGAUAAAAACAUACUGUUGCAACAUUCAGCCAUGAGCAGAAGGGAGAAGGAAAGACGCUUGCGUGGAGAAAAUGCUGCUGAGAGCAGGUAUUGCUCAUCCGCUUCCCUGAGUUACCAUGCACACGGCACCUCCCCGGGGGCUGUGCUGCUCUGCAGCCCUCCAGGCUGGGAAGCGCUAGGCACAGCGAGGCGAGGAAAAGCUUGAGGGAGCUGGGGAAAAGAGGGUGGAAGAGAAAAAGUGAGAAGAGGCCGAAAUGCUGAACUGGAGGAUGCGCAAGGGGCAAAGGAAAGGACCGGGAAGUUAACCAGCCAGAAGGAGUUUUGCAGCCACAGAACAGGGCAUGUUCAAGACAGCUGGAGAAAAAUGGAAGGAGAAGUGGACUUGGGACACAUCCUGCGGCCAGGAGCAAACCUGAGAUACCAAGUAGGAGCUCAUGUAUGCGAACAACCCAUCCAGCUCCUCUAAAAAGCUUCGUAAGAGGAAAGCCCCCCAGAAGGCAGACCAAUGGUCAUAGUCUUCUGUGCAUUAAAAGCCGCAGGUUGACUGGCCGCAGCCGACGCUGAGGGCUGCAGCUCAGGCGGACGGGUGUCAGUCCCGCGUGUGUGGGAAAAUGAAGAGGCUGCUUUUGAAAAUCUGAACCGUGGCGUCUUCAUUUACCGAAGCCUCCUGUAGAGCAGACAUUUUGUGGAAAAUAUCCCGAGGGCUUGGGAGAGGGGGUUGAGCAGACUGUGGCUGCGUGUAAGCGUGGAACUGUGCAGCCGAACUGCUUCGCUCACUCCUUCCGUUCAUACCCGCUCGUGGCGUCGGCAUUGUCACCAGCGGAGGCGAUGCUGGGAGUGACAGGUGGAAUUUAGUGCGUUUGAAUUUUAAUCAGCAAUUAUUGUAGAACACAAUAACGCUUCAACUGGUGGGUAAUUCAGCUCCAGUUCCACAAAUACAGACUCAUCCACUCCAACUGCAAAUUUCCGACCUCUUUCCUCCCAGCUAACUAGCAUAUGGAAAUGCAUGAAUGAUAACCAAGCGAAGCAAUGAUGGUGGGAGAAUUAAGAUGGCUCAGAACUACCAAGCCAAAUUGCUUAGCGCUGGUAUGGCAGCUGUCCCAGGUUGUGCUUAGGAGGGUUCAGGCUUGCUCCUCUCACCGACUUUAGAAGGACGGUGGCUCCGGCUGCUUGCCCUGUGCACACACAUGUGUCCGUGUGUGUGAAAGCGGAGUAAAUGUAACGUCAGCAUUCGGUGCCGAGACUGGGAGGCUGUGUUACCUGUGAGAGUAGACGUUGGUUUACAGGCUACGGAAGGAAUACAGAAGAUAGGCUUCGUGGCUCUCCUGUGUUAGCUUCUGGUUUGAAAAUAGGAAUCGAGAUUUCUGAGUUGAGCUGCCUCCGCGCGCUGGAGGGUGGCAGCUCGCGGUGCAGAGCUGCUCCAGCCAACACAGGGACGCGUCCCCCAACGGGGACCACCCCGUGCCCUGCGCAGCCCCCAGAGACCAACCCAGCUCCAAACGGCUGGGAUAGCAGCAGACCCUGGGUGAGAAGGCCAAGGAACCCAGCGAAUGAGACCAUAUGAGCUCUGUGCUGCAGCAACUGGAGUGCUCCUGGCGCUUGAGCUAACGAGGAGCUUGUUUUGCUUGGAUGGGUCCGUGCUACGCUGCCGCCUGCAGCAUAAGCACCUCUUUAUAGCAGGUACCUCUAAGUAGCACAGCAAAUGGUAAUUUAAUUUGGAUUUAGCGUUGGGAUUUGGGCCCUUCAGUUGCUGGAAUAUAUAAUCUUGUGGACAAAAUGUUCCUCGCUGCAGCAUGUCUCAUCUCGGCAUUCCUGCCCCCUCUGCAGGAGCGGCGUGUUGGGGUCACUGAUGCUGCCAAAGCCCGUGGCUCUCAGGCUAGCGUUGGCUCCUGCACACGUUCGCAGCCCGGGAGGCAACAGGUUCGUGAAAUAGCUUUUUUAAACGAGUCUGCUGAGUCUGUAAUAAGAAGAAGAGAGAAAUAAUCCUGUGUGCGACUUCCUGCAGAUGGGCUUUGGUACUUGUAAAAGUUGCAGCAAAUGGAUUUGCUCCAGGCCUGGAUAGACAUUGGCAGAUUUAUAGAGCAAGAGGUGAUUCAACAUAGCAGCUACAGCAAAAUUUCAUCUUGGAAGCAGAAAUUACAGCAAACACUUGAGGAUACUUAACUCUACAUGUGUUGCCACCUUGCUCCUGCGCCAGUGGUGAGGCUGGCCUCAGCGAGCAGCCAAGAAGGGCUUUCAUGUCCUGCAGCACUGGGCAGCUGGCAAGACCCUAAAGGGCACAAAUGCCUUCUCCUCACCUCAAAAGCCAGCAACGGUUUGGUAAAAUGCAUUAGUAUUUUUACAGCACUGCCUCGAAGGCUUCUUUUCCCCUUUUUCUUGUUUCUCUUUGCCUUGUCCCAUCCUCCCUCCUCCAGACUGCGGUAACCAUGUUCCAAGAUGAAAAAAAAAGAUUCGCUUGUCUGUAAUUACCAAAAAGGCUAAAUUUGUUAUACAUUAUGCACAUUUUUCACGAUGGCAGCAUUUUUUGCUGAAGUUGGUAGGGAUAAGGUUACAUAAGAGGCCCCGAACAGAUUGUUUACAGAAGACUACACAAGACAAAUAAUUUGAGGCUGUGAUUCAACCUGUAUCGCUGCAAACUGAAGGCAAGACCCGUCACCAAAGACCGAGUGAUAACACAAGUUUUAUCAUAAUACUCUAAGACAGUACAUCGACUUUUGACAUAACCCAUCCUAAAAGCAAAAAUAACGUGAUAUACUUUUCAAAAUGCCUUAUCUAUGUGUGCCAUCAACAGACUGCUGCUUUUUCAUGUUUUGUAACUCCUCUUUUAAUUCUGUAAUUAUAUAAGAGAAAAUUAAGGGAUUUUCUACUGGGAAGAAAAUAUGUCUUCUGAAAUUUUAAAUUUAAAGCAGCAUAAUAUAAAACUCACUGCAAGCAUAUCUUGAAAAUAUAUUUUUACAGUGAUUGCUUUGAUAGUUUCAUAGCUAUUAUAUUUCUUAUCAUCUGUCUAUAAAGAAACAUUGGUUCCUGGUAGUACCACUAAAAAUCCAGCUAAUGUUUUUAUGUUUUUACUGAGGCUAUAUUUUACACCAAGUACUUGAAUACAUCACUCCACUUCUUAGUUUACCAGCCUUAUUUUUAAUCCCAUCUUCACAUUCAAUUUCAACUUUUUUUUAUAUUUGCAAACUCACCAAAUCAUUCACCUUUGUCGAUCUUUUUGAGAGCAUCAUCAUCAGAAUUACUAAUGCAAUUUGUGCUGGGUUUCACACUUUUUGCCAAGAAGAAUUUUUCAGGUUCAUCUGAAUUGCUCCCAGUUCUCAAGAUAUUCAGCCCACUCAUUCAAAUACUCAGUGAAAGUACAGUAAAAACAGUUUACUGUGUUUUUUAAUUUUGCUGCAAAAAUGACUCUCUCACUUUCAAGUUCAACUAUUUAGGCAUUUAUUGUUAUUGUCUGAAAACCUUUCUCUUUUCUGCUUCAGUCUUUGACAUUAAAGGAUUAUGCUUUCUA